CUUUCCCUCUGUCGGCAUGCUUUACACAUGCAAGUCGAACGGCAGCGCGGGCUUCGGCCUGGCGGCGAGUGGCGAACGGGUGAGUAAUACAUCGGAACGUGCCCAGUAGUGGGGGAUAGCUCGGCGAAAGCCGGAUUAAUACCGCAUACGACCUGAGGGUGAAAGCGGGGGAUCUUCGGACCUCGCGCUAUUGGAGCGGCCGAUGGCAGAUUAGCUAGUUGGUGGGGUAAAGGCCUACCAAGGCGACGAUCUGUAGCUGGUCUGAGAGGACGACCAGCCACACUGGGACUGAGACACGGCCCAGACUCCUACGGGAGGCAGCAGUGGGGAAUUUUGGACAAUGGGCGAAAGCCUGAUCCAGCAAUGCCGCGUGUGUGAUGAAGGCCUUCGGGUUGUAAAGCACUUUUGGCGGGAACGAAAAGGACUGUGCCAAUACCACGGUUCGAUGACGGUACCCGCAGAAUAAGCACCGGCUAACUACGUG
rnacentral:rRNA from 1 species